UACGUAGGGUGCGAGCGUUUGUCCGGAAUUAUUGGGCGUAAAGAGCUCGUAGGCGGUUUGUCACGUCUGCUGUGAAAUCCCGAGGCUCAACCUCGGGCCUGCAGUGGGUACGGGCAGACUGGAGUGCGGUAGGGGAGAAUGGAAUUCCUGGUGUAGCGGUGGAAUGCGCAGAUAUCAGGAGGAACACCAAUGGCGAAGGCAGAUCUCUGGGCCGUAACUGACGCUGAGGAGCGAAAGCGUGGGGAGCAAACAGG
rnacentral:rRNA from 1 species